rnacentral:rRNA from 1 species
GACGAACGCUGGCGGCGUGCUUAACACAUGCAAGUCGAACGGAAAGGCCCUGCUUUUGUGGGGUGCUCGAGUGGCGAACGGGUGAGUAACACGUGAGUAACCUGCCCUUGACUUUGGGAUAACUUCAGGAAACUGGGGCUAAUACCGGAUAGGAGCUCCUGCUGCAUGGUGGGGGUUGGAAAGUUUCGGCGGUUGGGGAUGGACUCGCGGCUUAUCCGCUUGUUGGUGGGGUAGUGGCUUACCAAGGCUUUGACGGGUAGCCGGCCUGAGAGGGUGACCGGCCACAUUGGGACUGCGGUACGGCCCAGACUCCUACGGGAGGCAGCAGUGGGGAAUAUUGCACAAUGGGCGGAAGCCUGAUGCAGCAACGCCGCGUGCGGGAUGACGGCCUUCGGGUUGUAAACCGCUUUCGCCUGUGACGAAGCGUGAUUGACGGUAAUGGGUAAAGAAGCACCGGCUAACUACGUG